rnacentral:lncRNA from 1 species
UGGGGCGGGGCGGGGCGCGCCUGGCCAGGCAGGCUGGAAACGGUAGCUCUUAACUGUUCCCCGCCCGUUGAUGACGAGGCGGCUGGACUAGAAUCCCAGCAGGAAACAUGAGAGGAGGCGGGCAGCCCAAGAGGGUUGGGCAGGGCAGUGUGGACCUCGCCGCUUCCACAGCGAUGCUGGCUACUGAUCGCGGGCACCUCCUUGCCAUGGGAUUCUGGUUCCCACUGCUCCCCGCUGCAGACAGCCCAUAGCUGGUUGCAUCUUGUCAGAGGCAAACACCCGGAGAUGGAGAUGUGUGUCUCAGUCCUAAGCCCAAGUCUCCAGAGAAGGGCAUCUGGAGGGCCCUCCAGGGUCCAUCCCAACCCAAAUCUUCUGUAGUCAAGAACAAGGAGCCAGUGGUGCAGACACAGAUGCAGUUCCAUCGCUUGGGCCCCACCAAGGAGAGAAGAAGUUCUCAGAGACUAGAGUGGAGGAUGGAGACAGGCUGGGCCCACACCCCCAUGCCCCACAGGUACCUACUACGACUCCCCAGAAAUAAACAUUUCCCCAGUCCUGACUCUAUGGCUGCCUUUCAUCUCCC